rnacentral:lncRNA from 1 species
ACGGUGAUGCAGUAGAUGAGACGGCGAUGGUGAUGAAGCAGGCGACGGUCACGGUCACGGCGAAGCUGGUCGGGUUUGGGGAGAUUAGGGACUAAGGAAGCUAGGGAUUUCGGCUAAACAAUUGGGGGAAACUGAUGAAGAAGAAUCGGGUUUUGCCUGGUUAAAAGGGCUGGAAAGAAAACGACGUCGUUUCGGUAGAUAAAUGAACCCACUGAUAGCGGCGUUUGUAAAUAAGCGCCACAAAAUGUCCACAUAAACGAAGUCGUUUCAGGAACAGACAGUCAAAUUUCUGGCGUUUUGGCAUAAAACGCCACUCACAACAUUAAAAAACGACGACGUUUUCAAUGACUAAACUAACAAAUUUGCGGCGUUUCUAAAUAAGCGCCACUAAACAAACCCAAAAACGAUGACGUUUCCCAAACAGUUAUGACAAAAUUAACCCAUUUGCGGCGUUUAUUACAAAGCGCCACAAAAUAAAAUUACAAACGAUGUCGUUCCUCAGCCAGUUAGUCAAAUUUGUGGCGUUUAGGCAUAAGCGCCACUCAAUUAACAGUGACUAAACGACUAACGUUGCGGCGUUUACACAAAAGCGCCACUAAAUUAACCGUCCAAACGGUGUCAUUUUUAAAAAAAGUAGGACAAGUGUUAACAUUUUACAAACCUCUGUAUCAAAUUAAACUUCAUGUAAACAAUUGAACAUUUAAUCAUUAUUCAUGUACGGUUUUGGGAUUUAACCCAUUUUGGUAUAUAUUUAUAUUUUUUAAAUUGAUAAUUUAUAUAUAUCUUUUUUAGAUUCAGAAAAUAUAAAAAACUUAAAUUAAACCCUAAACCCUAAAUUAACCAUAAUUAAUCCUAAACCAUAUUUUCAAGAAUUCGUGUUGCUAAUGUUAGUGUGUAGUACAAAACAUAUAUUUUAACCUUAAAUUAUAAAAUGCAAACCGUUAACCACAAGCAUCAAGCCCUAAAACACUAAUUAACCUCUUAACAUGACUAAAGCGGCCUAAACCUCAAAC